rnacentral:rRNA from 1 species
CGGACGGGUGAGUAACACGUGGGUAACCUGCCUGUAAGACUGGGAUAACUCCGGGAAACCGGAGCUAAUACCGGAUAGUUCCUUGAACCGCAUGGUUCAAGGAUGAAAGACGGUUUCGGCUGUCACUUACAGAUGGACCCGCGGCGCAUUAGCUAGUUGGUGGGGUAAUGGCUCACCAAGGCGACGAUGCGUAGCCGACCUGAGAGGGUGAUCGGCCACACUGGGACUGAGACACGGCCCAGACUCCUACGGGAGGCAGCAGUAGGGAAUCUUCCGCAAUGGACGAAAGUCUGACGGAGCAACGCCGCGUGAGUGAUGAAGGUUUUCGGAUCGUAAAGCUCUGUUGUUAGGGAAGAACAAGUGCGAGAGUAACUGCUCGCACCUUGACGGUACCUAACCAGAAAGCCACGGCUAACUACGUGCCAGCAGCCGCGGUAAUACGUAGGUGGCAAGCGUUGUCCGGAAUUAUUGGGCGUAAAGGGCUCGCAGGCGGUUUCUUAAGUCUGAUGUGAAAGCCCCCGGCUCAACCGGGGAGGGUCAUUGGAAACUGGGAAACUUGAGUGCAGAAGAGGAGAGUGGAAUUCCACGUGUAGCGGUGAAAUGCGUAGAGAUGUGGAGGAACACCAGUGGCGAAGGCGACUCUCUGGUCUGUAACUGACGCUGAGGAGCGAAAGCGUGGGGAGCGAACAGGAUUAGAUACCCUGGUAGUCCACGCCGUAAACGAUGAGUGCUAAGUGUUAGGGGGUUUCCGCCCCUUAGUGCUGCAGCUAACGCAUUAAGCACUCCGCCUGGGGAGUACGGUCGCAAGACUGAAACUCAAAGGAAUUGACGGGGGCCCGCACAAGCGGUGGAGCAUGUGGUUUAAUUCGAAGCAACGCGAAGAACCUUACCAGGUCUUGACAUCCUCUGACAACCCUAGAGAUAGGGCUUUCCCUUCGGGGACAGAGUGACAGGUGGUGCAUGGUUGUCGUCAGCUCGUGUCGUGAGAUGUUGGGUUAAGUCCCGCAACGAGCGCAACCCUUGAUCUUAGUUGCCAGCAUUCAGUUGGGCACUCUAAGGUGACUGCCGGUGACAAACCGGAGGAAGGUGGGGAUGACGUCAAAUCAUCAUGCCCCUUAUGACCUGGGCUACACACGUGCUACAAUGGACAGAACAAAGGGCUGCAAGACCGCAAGGUUUAGCCAAUCCCAUAAAUCUGUUCUCAGUUCGGAUCGCAGUCUGCAACUCGACUGCG